GAAUGAAUGAUUCAGUGACUAGGGCUGUUGCGAUUACCGCAAUAUUGUAAUGCCACAAUACUAAGAUACUCUCAUAACAUUAUGCAAUUGUAAUUGCGGUGUAAAUGCAUUAAUACCACCUCUGAGCAGCAUUAAACUGUCAGUGUAAAUACAUCUUUUUUCAUUUACAUCUUUGUAUUUAUGAAAAUUUGGUCUUUUGUAGAUUAGAAUUAUGAAUUAACACAAUUCUGCACGGUAUCAUGAUACUUCAGCUGGUAUGGUAUCGUAAGAUACGUUUACGGUGUCAUGACAACCCUAGCCUCUAUGAUAGCAUUAAUAAUAGUGAUGUUUCCAUAGAAAAAAAUCUUUUUCAUGUGCAGCUCAAGUCAACAGCGGAAAGGUCACAAGAGUCACAAGAUACCUUCUUAAUCAACUCCAAAUUAAAGCACCCAUGUCUAGAGGGUAACUAUGCCCCCAUACUGUAUUAGUCAGGGGGCUGUAUUUAAUCAAAAAAGCUUAUGAAUAUGGAAAAGUUGAACCAUUUCUAGGAACCCUCAGUCCAGGUCAAAAUUUUCAUCACUUCCCAUCUGUGGUCCCUCAACAGUGUGUUCAAACAAGACCAAUAUCUCCAUAAUAAUAAAUGUAUCUCUACUUUAUGGCUCUCUUGUAAUAACAUCUUUCCCCAGUGGAUGUCAGAUAUCAUUUUGUAUGCUUACGCACAUUGAGUAAAAUAAAGUUGCUAGUGGGGAAUCGGUCCUUGCUCAUGAGGGAUCCAGGCACGGCGGCCGCUCUCAGAGCUGGCAUAGAUGGCAGCGGUUUAAUUUGAUUAGCUGUCCUGUGAGACCUCACUAGUGUUUAUUAGACUGCCUGGAGGAAGUACCGAGAUUGCAAGCUGUCUGAAUCAAACCUGUCAGUACACCUGAAAGUUAAGGUGUUCUUAACAUGAGACAUCAGUUCAUAACUGACAACUUCAGCAAAUGAGCAUCUGUUGCAACAACAGCGAGAAACGAAACAUUAAUGCAUCACUGUCACAUGUGCACACAAUGCAGCUAUGCAAAGAGUCUGAAACUGAAAGAUGUUUAAAUGGCGGAGCAAGUUAUUGUAUCCUCAUGAAAGAUUACAAAAGAAGACUUUUUUUAUUUGAAAUAAUGUGCACCAAUAAACCAAGACCAAGGACGUGGAGCUGUUAUGAGCCAAACAACAAAGGAGCAAUGCACGCAAUUUUUAGAGGGAAGACUCCAGGCGACCUCUUAGUCUCAGCGGGGGGAGGAUGAGAACAAAGGAUAACACAAAAUUGAGAGUGUUUGUGUGAGAAAUGCGCACAAAAGAAUCACUCUGUGAGUGUGUGACAUCAAGAGCUGCGUGCAGUCAGUCGAGGACAGGAAGAUGAAGUCACCUGACAUCAUCCAGACUGUAAAUAAAGACUCACCUGAAAGAUCUCAGGAGACGGUACGCCUUCCCCAAGUCUGAAACCCGUCUGCAGAGGGGAGCCACGGCCAACUCCAUCUGUAACACAUGCAUAUGGGAUGUUUGCUCAAGGGGGAGUCAAUGCUUUCUAAAUAGAUACAUAAGAAUUUGACAGUGAAACUUAAACAUGGUGUCAACCUGAUGUGUCUAAAGUUACCAUAUACUUACUUUAGCCGCGUUUCCACCGCAGGAACCAGGGUCUAAAUUAAGUUCUGGGGUAAAAAAUUCCCCCUCAGAAAGUCCCUGCUCACGAGGUAGUACUUUUUUUAAAGUUCAGGAGCUUUUGGGGGUGGGACUUGGGCGCUGAACAAGCUAUUUGGUUAUUGGUUCAUGCAGCAUUUUAUUUUAACCACCAUUUUUAAAAGUCUGUUGCAGUGUGUGCAGUAAGAGUUGUUUGCUAUUCGAAUCAACAAUGGAGUUUAAAAAUUACGACCGAUGGACCGACGACGAUUUUCAGGCUUUAUUAAGCUUGCAUGCGGAGAACAAAAUCCAGUGGGAACUGGAAAGUCGCAUGCAGUCCUACGUCACCAGACACUUCUUCAUGUUACUUUAGACCACGAUGGAAACGCAGACCGAAACAGGUCUGGGGGUUAAAAGCUCCUGGGACAAAUUGUUCCAGAAAGCUAAUGUAUGACAUCAUUCAAGACAUCAUCAUUUUGGACAGCCCCAUGUCCUAUAUACUGAAAGAAAAUUUGAUACAGAUCUCAAACAACGAGGAAAGCUAAAGAACGUCUUAAGAAGGACCACUUUUAUGGUGUUUUUUUGGUCAUUUUGAAUCUUGACAGCCCAUGUUCCCCUUUACUUUGUUUCAUGGGUGAAAGAAAGUUGGAUACGAAUUUGAAACAUGAUGAAUUCCCACUUUUGAAUUAUUUUAAAACCCAGCACCAAAGGAGGAAAACCAUUAGAUUGUGAAAGAGAGACGAAUGAGGAAGGCUGACCACCAUUUUCCUCACCUGAGCAAAAUCGGCUGCCAACCUCAUCUUCCCGCCCUCUCCGAGUGGACGCAAGAGACUGGCAUGGCGGAUGAAAAGGGCGAUGGCGCGCUGGGCGAUGUUCUCUGUACUGUCGUACAGGAAGUCCAGACACUGCAGUGGGCGGAAGUAGUCAUUCAUCACGCGUGCGAUGAAGCCCUGCAGCUCACGCAUGUAUAGCGAGCAUGGCACGUCUGGACGACCCACUGGUAGAGGACUGGGGGCACACAUACAAGAGUAGUGUACAGUAAUCCUGUAAUGAGUGCCCGACAGCAGGGACAGAAAUAAAGUCCACGAAGCCUGACUCCAGUGGCCCUGAGGGAAAGAGAGAUGUGGACAAAAGGAAGCCUCGCUGAAUUAUAAGGGUGAUGGUUUAAAUGUUAUCAAACGCUGGCACAUCACCCUCUGUUGUAUUAGCUGGAGCACACAGACCAACGAAUGAGAGACAGAGCAAGAGACAACGAGAGAUGAAUGCAGAAGAGAGUCUUCAGGGAAUGUGUCCUUUAUAAUAGUCAAAAACACACAUGUAUAUCGCCACAUCAUGAGGGUGUUCAUUUGUCAUCAUGAAUAUUCAGUCUUUCAGUUCAACACAAAUAACUGAAUGGAGAUUUGUAAAGCUUAAAGACUGAACAUAAGAAAAAAGUCAAAUUAAAGUCAAAUUUGAGCAAAACAAAUUUAGCAACUAGUAUUAAAUUGUAUCACCCUGUCAUUGUAGCAUUGUGAAAUCAAAUUAAUAAAAAAAGUGCAGUGUUACCAUACAUUUUUUUAAUGGUAAAGAAAUUUGACAACAGCACACCCAUCACAUUUUCUUGCUUUAAGAAACAAUUUUUGUUAAAAUAUGGUGAGCUGAGAGACCUGAUAACAGAACUGCCCUCAACAAGACUAAACAGGGCACACAAUCCCAAAUGCCAUGUUAGUGUUUGAGAAAAAGCCCACAAGGAGAGAACACAAUCUUUGUACAACCAUAAAUCCCAAUUUUGACAA